AUGAGCGUGACUACACAACAUCUGAACUACGUUAAAUGGAUAAGCAGCAUAGGUUCCACUAAUGCAAGGGCAUUCACUUGUUUUGUUUUGAUUCACUUCGUUGCCAUCGUCAUUGUAUCAUAUAAACCGAGAGUAAGCCACAACCUGCAAUUAUUAGCAAAAUAUUCUAACUUGGAGUGCAUCUUGACAUAUUUAUUAUUAGUGGUAUUCAUAGAUAUGCUUACCAUGUAUGUACCUAUUUUAUUAAGACUAAAUAAUUAG